AUCUGAGUCCGAUAUUAAUCUCUACUUUCGCACAGUUUGCGGCGGCUAACGAAAACAAACGAUGAGUUGCAUCUCUAUAGUUCCUUCCACUGGGAAAGGGAAAUGACACACUUGCGAUUUGGCGCCGUUCGAGGUUAUUUCUAAAGUUUAGACUCUCCUGAUAUAUUCCGUUAACAUUCUCAGUGCAGUAUUAGUCCUGAAUUCAUGAAAAUGGCCUACUUCGUACCCAGUGUCCUUGCCAUUUUAUGUUUGGUUAAUAUUGACUUACUAACACUAGAAAACUUGAAGGAACGUGAAUACAGUGACAAAACCAAUUCCUUUUGGAAAUACAGUUCAGUGUGGUUCAAAAGUUUGCUGUUAGGAUUAUUCUAAAUAAACGCUGUUGAGUGAAAUAACUCACAUUUUGAACGUAAGUGUCCAUACUCGAAGGGAUAUUGAAGGCCUAUUUCAACUUUUCUUAACGAAACUGUCGAUAAAACAUCAUCUGCACUGC